GAAAUAGAUUAUUUAUUAAUUGUCAAAGAAAAUCUUUUUGUGUCCCAAGAGAUAUACUGCAAGAGGGAAAACAACAAAAUCGAAGGUAUGCAUGUAGAUAUUCCUGUUAAUUAAUUGUAAUAAAUAUUUUUUAAUAGAUAUUACUUUUAUAUUGUAACAAUUCUUUUAUAAAAUGUAAAUGCAAAACAUGGAAGGGAAGAAUCAAGUGGAUCUUGUUCUGGGAAAUCAGAAUUAUACUUUUAUGAAUAUUUAAGACAACUCGAAAGUCAUUGUAGUUUUAAAGUUGUGAAAAGAAUAAUUAAAAAGAUUACAAUAUGGACAUUGCGAGAAACUCACUAAUCCUGUUGUAUUAUUCUUUAACGUAGUUAUUAUUGUCAGCUAAUUAUUAGAUACAUCAGAAGUACUAAAAAAUAAUACUCCCUCUAUGAUAGAAAAG
rnacentral:misc_RNA from 1 species